UACGUAGGUGGCAAGCGUUGUCCGGAUUUACUGGGCGUAAAGGGCGUGCAGGCGGUUUGUUAAGUGCAGGGUGAAAGCUCCCGGCUCAACUGGGAGAGGUCCUUGCAUACUGGCGAACUCGAGGGAGGCAGAGGAAAGUGGAAUUCCCGGUGUAGUGGUGAUAUGCGUAGAUAUCCGGAGGAACACCAGUGGCGAAGGCGACUUUCUGGCCUGUUCUUGACGCUGAGGCGCGAAAGCUAGGGGAGCAAACGGG
rnacentral:rRNA from 1 species